ACACAUGCAAGUCGAGGGGCAGCAUGGUCUUAGCUUGCUAAGGCCGAUGGCGACCGGCGCACGGGUGAGUAACACGUAUCCAACCUGCCGUCUACUCUUGGACAGCCUUCUGAAAGGAAGAUUAAUACAAGAUGGCAUCAUGAGUCCACAUGUUCACAUGAUUAAAGGUAUUCCGGUAGACGAUGGGGAUGCGUUCCAUUAGAUAGUAGGCGGGGUAACGGCCCACCUAGUCUUCGAUGGAUAGGGGUUCUGAGAGGAAGGUCCCCCACAUUGGAACUGAGACACGGUCCAAACUCCUACGGGAGGCAGCAGUGAGGAAUAUUGGUCAAUGGGCGAGAGCCUGAACCAGCCAAGUAGCGUGAAGGAUGACUGCCCUAUGGGUUGUAAACUUCUUUUAUAAAGGAAUAAAGUCGGGUAUGUAUACCCGUUUGCAUGUACUUUAUGAAUAAGGAUCGGCUAACUCCGUGCCAGCAGCCGCGGUAAUACGGAGGAUCCGAGCGUUAUCCGGAUUUAUUGGGUUUAAAGGGAGCGUAGAUGGAUGUUUAAGUCAGUUGUGAAAGUUUGCGGCUCAACCGUAAAAUUGCAGUUGAUACUGGAUAUCUUGAGUGCAGUUGAGGCAGGCGGAAUUCGUGGUGUAGCGGUGAAAUGCUUAGAUAUCACGAAGAACUCCGAUUGCGAAGGCAGCCUGGCUAAGCUGCAACUGACAUUGA
rnacentral:rRNA from 1 species